UACAGAGGGUGCGAGCGUUGUCCGGAAUCACUGGGCGUAAAGGGCGCGUAGGUGGCGGGAUAAGCGUGUGGUGAAAGCCCGGGGCUCAACCCCGUGUCUGCCAUGCGGACUGUCUUGCCCGAGCGUAGUAGAGGCAGGUGGAAUUCCGGGUGUAGCGGUGGAAUGCGUAGAGAUCCGGAAGAACACCGGUGGCGAAGGCGGUCUGCUGGGCCAAGACUGACGCUGAGGCGCGACAGCGUGGGGAGCAAACAGG
rnacentral:rRNA from 1 species